GAUGCACACUGUUAGAGCUUGGAGUCAAGGCGAGUGGCCGGCUGAGGAGCCACAAGUGUAGGUAGUGAGCUGCCUGAGGGGCAAGUCCUUUACCAACACCACGAGGGGCUCUGGCCCAAUAAGUGGACUUUGAUAGUAAUUCUUGCUACAAGU
ensembl:snoRNA SNORA62 Small nucleolar RNA SNORA62/SNORA6 family